UACGUAGGGGGCAAGCGUUAUCCGGAAUUACUGGGUGUAAAGGGAGCGUAGACGGUAAUGUAAGUCUGGAGUGAAAGGCGGGGGCCCAACCCCCGGACUGCUCUGGAAACUAUGUUACUAGAGUGCAGGAGAGGUAAGCGGAAUUCCUAGUGUAGCGGUGAAAUGCAUAGAUAUUAGGAGGAACACCAGUGGCGAAGGCGGCUUACUGGACUGUAACUGACGUUGAGGCUCGAAAGCGUGGGGAGCAAACAGG
rnacentral:rRNA from 1 species